rnacentral:rRNA from 1 species
AUGAACCAAACCGGCGCGGCAAUCUCGCCUGCCGCCGGCAACACCCACCUCGGACCUCUGGGUCAUCUUCCUCCCCCGACCUACCAACCUACCUUACCUACUCACCCUCCAUCUGCUACUCUGCUUGCCCCAACCUCAAUCAUCGACACCAUCACAGAUGUAUCCCCGUUCAUCCCCAUCGUCCUCGACCUGGCGGCGCACAACUACUACCACUGGCGUCAUUUGUUCCUUGUCCACCUCGGGCGCUGCGGCCUCCGCAGCCACAUCGACGGCGACAACCUGGCGGCCUCCUCCGAUCCCGUUUGGAUCAAGGACGACUUCGCCAUUCUGCAGUGGAUUUACACGCGGAUCUCAACGGAGCUGUUCGGCCUCCUCCCCAAGGACGGCGCCACCGCCUUCGUCAUCUGGCGCGAGCUCCAGCGCCUGUUCCAGGACAACCGCGAUGCCCGCAUCAACCACCUGGAGACAGCGAUGCGCACCCUCAAGUAG